UUUUUGUUUAAAAUAGCUUUGGCUAUUCUGGGUCUUUUCUGGUUCCAUGCACAUCUUAGGAUACCUUCUCUAUUUCUGUGAAGAAUAUCAUUGGUAUUUUGAUAAAGAUUGCAUUCAAUCUGUAGAUUGCUUUGGGUAGUAUAAAUAUUUUAACAAUAUUGAUUCUUCCAAUCCAUGAACAUGGAAUAUCUUUCCAUGUUUUGGUGUCCUCUUCCGUUUCCUUCAUCAGUGUUUUACAAUUUUGAUUAUAGAGAUCUUCCAAUUCUUUGGUUAAUUCCUAGGUGUUUAGUUUUAUGGGCAGAUAUUGUAAAUGGGAUUUUAAAUUUCUUUUUCAUAUUGUUCACUGUUUUUACAUAGAAAUGCUACUGACUUUUGUACGUUGAUUUGGUAUCCUGAAACUUUACUGAAUUUGGUUAUCAGUUUUAAUAGUUUUUCCUGAAGUCUUUAGGUUUUUCCAAAUAUAAGAUAACAUCAUCUGCAAACAAAUAUAAUUUGAACGUCUUCCUUUCCAAUUUGGAUGCCCUUUGUAUCAUUCUCUUGUCUAAUUGCUCUAGCUUAAACUUCCAGUUCAAUAUUAAAGAGGUAACAGGGGGCAUCCUUCUUAUAUUCCAGAUCUUAGAAAACAGGGUUUCUUUACCAUUCAGUAUAAUACUAGCUGUGUGUCUGUCAUAUAUGGCUUUUAUUAUGUUGAGGUAUGUUCCUCCUAUACACAGUUUUUUGAGUGCUUUUAUCAUGAAGGGAUGUUGAAUUUUAUCAAAGUUUUUUAAGCAUCAAUUGAAAUAAUUAUAUGUAUUUUAUUCUUCAUUCUGUUGAUAUAAUGUAUCAUGUUAAUUGAUUUGUGUAUGGGGAACCACCCUUGCAUCCCAGGAAUAAAUCCCACUUCGUCAUGAUGAUUGAUCAUUUUAAUGUAUUAUUUUAUUCAGUUUGCUAGUAUUUCAUUAAGGAGUUUUUAAAAAUCAAUAUUGAUCAGAAAUAUUGGCCUGCAGUUUUCUCUUUUUUUAUAUAUAUACGUCUUUGGUUUUCGCAUCUGGGUAACACUGACCUUGUAGAAAUAGUAUGGAAAUUUUCUCUCUUUCUCCAUUUUUCAGAAUAGUUUGAAUAGGAUUGGUAUUAGUUCUUUUUUAAUGUUUGGUAGAAUUAGCCAUGAAUCCAUCAGAUCUCGGGCUUUUCUUUACUGGAAGACUUUUGAUAAUGGCUUUGAUCAUAUUAUUUGUUAUUGGUCUGUUUAGGUUUUAGAUUUAUUCCUGGUUCAAACUUAGUAGGUUGUAUGUAUCUAAAAAUUUGUCCACUUCUUUUAGAUUUUUCAGUUUAUUGUCAAAUAGCUUCUCUUAGUAGCUACUAAUGAUCCUUUGAAUUUCUGUCAUCUUAUUUGUAAUGUUUCCUUUUUUAUUUGAAUCUUUUCUCUUUUGUUCUUAGUCUGGCUAAAGGUUUGUCAAUUUUGUUUAACUUUUCAAAAAAAUCUUUUAGUUUCAUUGACUUUUUGUAUUUUUAAAUUACAAUUUCAUAUUUUCUCUGCUCUGAUAUUUAUUAUUUGUCAUAUACUAGUUUUGGGUUUGAUUGCUCUGUAUGUUUUAAAAUUUCAAUUUCAUUUUUCUCUGCUCUGCUCUUUAUUAUUUAUUGUAUACUAGUCUUGGGUUUGGUUGCUCUUGUUUUUCUAAUUCUUUAUGAUGCAUUACUACAUUGUUUAUUUGCAGUUUUUCUUCCUUUUUGAUGUAGGCACUUGUAGCCAUAACUUCCAUCUGAGUAUAGGGUUUUCUGUAUUCCCUAGGUUUUGGUGUGUUGUACUUCCAUUAUCAUUUGUUUCAAGGAAUUUUAAAAUUUCCUUCUUAAUUUAUUCAUUGAGCCACUGGUCAUUCAAGAGCACAUUGUUUAAUAUCCAUGUAUUUUUAUAGUUUCCAAAAUUCCUCUGUUAUUUACUUAUAGUUUUAUUCUAUUACAGUCAGAGAUGUUUUAAGACUUCUUUUGUGACA
ensembl:lncRNA